rnacentral:rRNA from 1 species
AUGCGCAGCAACGUUGUUCCGGGCCGCGACCUAGCAAUGUCGAGCUCCGCUUCAGCCUCCCGCCGCUCAUGGCCGCGCUAUGGCGCAGUGCCCAUGACAAGGUGCCCUGGAUGCCCACGUACCGCACCCCUGAAGCGGCUAGUCACAACGACCGACAAGAAUGGCAACCUUGGGCGGGAAUUCGUGAAAUGUGAGAGCAAACCAGAGCAGGGAAAGAAAUUCAAGCAAUGUGCCCAUUUUGAGUGGCUAGAUGAGUACAUAGAGCGGAUUCAACUGGAGGGUGCAUCAGGGGAGCUCGAUUUACCGUUGGAGGCGGAGAAGUUUGGAUCGGGCCCAUCUGGAUCUGGGGCCCCUGGAUCUGGCAAUUCCAUUGGUGCUACUGUGGGGGAUGCAGGAGGGACGGCAGAGCUGAAGAAGCUGAACAAGCAGAUGAAGAAACUCAUCGAAUUGAAGAAGCAUGGCAAUUUGAUGGCCGGAAUUUUUUAUGUUUGUGUAAUUGCUCUCGCAUUUGUUUAUGUGAUGAUAAUUAGUCGUUAG